AAAGUCAUUUGAAAAAAAAAAAAAAAAAAAAAAAAAAAAAAAAAAAAAAGCAAAAAGAUUCACCUCUUUUAAUGCUAUGCACAAUUUUCAGGGUUCACAAUUCUUACACAAUAUUUCUCUGAUAUGCACAACCUUAUUGCAUUCUACAUACCACCUUUUUUUCUACAAGAGAAGUUGAAGU